rnacentral:rRNA from 1 species
ACGAUGAAGCCGGAGCUUGCUCUGGUGGAUUAGUGGCGAACGGGUGAGUAACACGUGAGUAACCUGCCCUUGACUCUGGAAUAAGCGUUGGAAACGACGUCUAAUACUGGAUACGAGCUUCAGCCGCAUGGCUAGGAGCUGGAAAGAAUUUCGGUCAAGGAUGGACUCGCGGCCUAUCAGGUAGUUGGUGAGGUAAUAGCUCACCAAGCCUACGACGGGUAGCCGGCCUGAGAGGGUGACCGGCCACACUGGAACUGAGACACGGUCCAGACUCCUACGGGAGGCAGCAGUGGGGAAUAUUGCACAAUGGGCGCAAGCCUGAUGCAGCAACGCCGCGUGAGGGACGACGGCCUUCGGGUUGUAAACCUCUUUUAGUAGGGAAGAAGCGAAAGUGACGGUACCUGCAGAAAAAGCACCGGCUAACUACGUGCCAGCAGCCGCGGUAAUACGUAGGGUGCAAGCGUUAUCCGGAAUUAUUGGGCGUAAAGAGCUCGUAGGCGGUUUGUCGCGUCUGCUGUGAAAACUGGGGGCUCAACCCCCAGCCUGCAGUGGGUACGGGCAGACUAGAGUGCGGUAGGGGAGAUUGGAAUUCCUGGUGUAGCGGUGGAAUGCGCAGAUAUCAGGAGGAACACCAAUGGCGAAGGCAGAUCUCUGGGCCGUUACUGACGCUGAGGAGCGAAAGCAUGGGGAGCGAACAGGAUUAGAUACCCUGGUAGUCCAUGCCGUAAACGUUGGGAACUAGAUGUAGGGACCAUUCCACGGUUUCUGUGUCGCAGCUAACGCAUUAAGUUCCCCGCCUGGGGAGUACGGCCGCAAGGCUAAAACUCAAAGGAAUUGACGGGGGCCCGCACAAGCGGCGGAGCAUGCGGAUUAAUUCGAUGCAACGCGAAGAACCUUACCAAGACUUGACAUAUACGAGAACGGGCUAGAAAUAGUCAACUCUUUGGACACUCGUAAACAGGUGGUGCAUGGUUGUCGUCAGCUCGUGUCGUGAGAUGUUGGGUUAAGUCCCGCACGAGCGCAACCCUCGUUCUUUGUUGCCAGCACGUA